rnacentral:rRNA from 1 species
GAUGAACGCUGGCGGCGUGCCUAAUACAUGCCAGUCGAGCGAACGGACGAGAAGCUUGCUUCUCUGAUGUUAGCGGCGGACGGGUGAGUAACACGUGGAUAACCUACCUAUAAGACUGGGAUAACUUCGGGAAACCGGAGCUAAUACCGGAUAAUAUUUUGAACCGCAUGGUUCAAAAGUGAAAGACGGUCUUGCUGUCACUUAUAGAUGGAUCCGCGCUGCAUUAGCUAGUUGGUAAGGUAACGGCUUACCAAGGCAACGAUGCAUAGCCGACCUGAGAGGGUGAUCGGCCACACUGGAACUGAGACACGGUCCAGACUCCUACGGGAGGAAGCAGUAGGGAAUCUUCCGCAAUGGGCGAAAGCCUGACGGAGCAACGCCGCGUGAGUGAUGAAGGUCUUCGGAUCGUAAAACUCUGUUAUUAGGGAAGAACAUAUGUGUAAGUAACUGUGCACAUCUUGACGGUACCUAAUCAGAAAGCCACGGCUAACUACGUG